CGGAUCGGAAUCGCCGGCACCUCUGGGUCUGACCAGCCCCAUCAUCGCCGGGGUGAGCGCGGCAGCCGCCGGCUUCCUCCUCCUCCUCCUCCUUGUGGCCUUCGUCUGCUUCAGAAUAACCCGAGCCAGAAAAGGAGCCGCACUGAGACCGAGCAGCACCAGCCCCUUGGGGGUGUUGGAGGCCCCGGCUCAGCAAGACCCCAUCUGUG